UACGAAGGGGGCUAGCGUUGUUCGGAAUCACUGGGCGUAAAGCGCACGUAGGCGGAUUGGUUAGUCAGGGGUGAAAGCCCAGAGCUCAACUUUGGAACUGCCUUCGAUACUGGAGAUCUGGAGUAUGAUAGAGGCGAGUGGAAUUGCGAGUGUAGAGGUGAAAUUCGUAGAUAUUCGCAGGAACACCAGUGGCGAAGGCGACUCGCUGGAUCAUUGCUGACGCUGAGACGCGAAAGCGUGGGGAGCAAACAGG
rnacentral:rRNA from 1 species